rnacentral:ncRNA from 1 species
GUCCGCUUUGUGCGGGAAAACCGCAUGCACGGUUCGGAGGGGCGGGGUAACUCGUCCUUACCCCUAA